UGUUAGCCCUGUAAUAGUCUACAGCUGUGGCUCAUAGGUUAAUUGAGCCACACCCAUUCUGGUGCUCCUUAAGAGGGCCAGAGUAUUACACGGGAGGGACGCUUGAGUUGUGCAAGUGACUCGACUGUUGUGCUAUUGUUUGUUUUAAGUAAGAAUAUGUUUUUCACCAACAACAUUGUGCAUCAAGUUUAUUUAAGUUGAUACCGGUGAGACACGUUAUCGAAAGAAGAUGUUAAAGACCUUUUGAAGUAAAGAGGAGCAUCUCAUCUGGACCUGAUGUCUAUAUUUAACUGCAGUUCUGUGAGUAUCCCCACUUAACCAUGAAGAUGAACUGCGAUCUGUAAGUCAAUAGUUUCUCAUUACUCUUGGGCACAUUGCUGUACUUUGGUUUCCUGGUGAGUUAACCCGUUAGCUGAAGGUUGAUCUGAGUAGUAAGGAUGUUUUAUUGGUUCAUGCGUUUGGUUUUUGUUGGUUUUAAUGGUUUGUUAAAACGGUUAAAGGUUCUAAGUUAUUGUUGUAAGCUGGAGUAAUGGCUUGGGUUCUGAUGUCUUCAGUCUUCUUUCCAGCUACUCUCCUGAGCUCUGCAUCAUCUUCACAUGAGUGUUUCAUUACUGAUGAGGGUGUGGUCUGAGUGAGCAGAGGCACAUACUGGGAUACAGAGCUGUCUGAAGUCUACAGGUCUGUAGACACGCCCCCUCAGGGGAAACUGAGUGUUUGAGAAACCGUCAUGACGUUUGUUACAUGGACUAGAAUGUUCUUUAAGAUGGAGACAGGGAUUCAGAAGGAGAAACACCAGGGGGAGAUGAGGGGGGCUCCUCAUCUCAACGACCAAAACACAACUUCAGUCUGACACAGAGAACCAUGGAACACAUUCAACAGUCCCCUCCAGGCAUCGUGACUCCUCAGGAACAGUUUCAUUUCCAAGAAGGUCCUAUUUGGGGCUAUUCCAAAGAUGGAGCCUGCUCCUCAAGAGCCACCCCCCUCCACUGGGUGGUCUUCUGAACAGAUGACCUCCUUCCUGUCCUCAGGCUGACUAAAGCUGCGCCGUUUGCAUCUGUGAAGGCCCCUCAUUCAGGAAACCACUGGACUACACACGCAUGACUUCAGAGACGUUGAAUCAACCUGGGACACAUUUUGGAGACGCCAAGCAUGAUCCAUCACCAAUGUGGGACGCCACUGAAGAAUGUUGUACCUAAUUUAUGUCUCUGGAGACAAUGAUGGUUCUGUUCUGGGUGUCCUGUCAGGAGUACCGGGGUUGGAUGAUGGAAUGUUAUCUGGCAGGAGGUUUUUACCCUGCAUGAGUGUUGGGCCUUUUAUGGCUCAGUGGUGUGUGUGUGUGUGUGGGUUUGAGAUGAGAUGGAUGACUUUUUAGCAUCGCUAGGGUUCUAUGUGUGUGUCCCCCCCCCCCCUAACUCACACCUUGCAGGGGGUUCUACGUGUGUUUGGUUCCAUCUGGCAGGGGGUUCUACGUGUGUUUGGUUCCAUCUGGCAGGGGGUCCUACUUGUGUUUGGUUCUAUCUGGCAUGGGGUUCUACUUGUGUUUGGUUCUAUCUGUGAGGGGGUUGUAUAUCUCUUGUAUUUCCACAAUGAGACGCUGGGGGUUAUCUGAGCCAUGGUUGAGAAGGAAUUGGGGGGGGGGGGGGGGGGGGGAAGGGAAAUUUGGCUUUGACUCGCUGAAGUACAUGAACUGCGACAUGCCGCCGGUUGCCGCGAGGCACCAUUGCCCGGCAGCGGGCAGCCGGCAGCGAGCGGUUCUACGUGCGUGUCCUGGGUUCUACGUGUAUGUGUCCUGCUUGCUUUGACUGUGAUAAUGUUCUUACGGGGGUCUGUGUGGUUGGCUUGGGCUAUUGGAAAGGUCAACUAAAUCAUACCUGAUGGACGGCCACAUGUUUACUUGAGGCCUCCAGUAGACAUGAAGAGCAUGGAGCAACACUCCGAGCGAUAUCCAUCACACUGGGAAGGAAGGAGAGUGUCCAAAUCAAGUGUCAAUGGAUGCAAGCGGCGUGUUCAGAUCAGUUACUUCAAACUAGGACUACACCAAUGAGGAUCAAUGGAGGAUGGACACCUAAAGGAUCAAUGGAGGAUGGACACCUAAAGGAUCAAUGGAGGAUGGACACCUAAAGGAUCAAUGGAGGAUGGACACCUAAAGGCAUUCCACAAGGAGAGUCUGACGUUGGAAAGGGACCUCAAUGGAUUUUCAAGAUGACCUUUAGACCUGUAGUGAGGCGGCUCUUCUUACCUGGCUGGAUUGAUGGAGAGCCCUGUGGAUCUUGUCUUGCUCUCAGUUGCACGUCUUCUCAGGCUGAACAGUAUUUGUUUCAUACAGGACUAGCUGAACGAUUGGUUCCCUUAAAUCAGAACCAAUCUGGGAACUCCAACUAGUGCGCUCUUCAAACUGAAGUUGUGGUCUUCAGUUGAGGAGGUAAGGAAACCUUCACUGGGGCUUCAAGGUAUAGAGGAGAACGUUUCAAAGUGUUCCAUGGUACUCUGAUGACGACUGUUGUGUUCCACUGGCUGAGGGGAAGAACCCUCACAUCUUCCUCUUGGCCUUCCUCCUCUGAGAAUCCUGGCGCCAUCUUGAAGGAUAGUCCAGCUCAUGUAACUGAUGUCACGACAGAUUCUCAAACAUUUGGCUUCUCCUGAGGUGUGUGUCUAUAGAACUGAAGACUUCAGACAGCAAUGUAUCCCAGCAUGCAUCUCUGCUCACUCAGACCACACCCGCAUAAGUAGGAUGCCACACUCUAGCGUUGGUGAUGUAGAGUUUUAUAAGUAACGAGGGAGCAGACAAAGGUGAUCAGAACACCACCACCACUGUUUUGUAUUGAAUAAUUCCAUUGUUUUUAGGCAACAAUUUGAGGUUUAAAGUCGUUGUGGGACGUACAUGGUAGUUCGGUUCUUCGUACGGAUUUGAGUGGUAUAACUUGUACACACUGGGUGCAUAAUAAUGUAAAGGUACUUUGAAUAGUAGUUAUGACCAACAGCAUCAAACAGAUCGCAUCAAGGUAAGUCUGUUGGCUGUGUUUUAAUGAAGACCAUCGCUGGACUUCAGGAUCAUCCUCCGUUCAGCUCAAGGUGAGGCGCUGGUUCUGUUUUUUCUUUGGUUGGUUCCGGCUGGAAUGUUCGUAUUCCAGUCUGACUGUUUGUGCUUCCCGCCGUGGAAGGUUCUGAGUGCGGUCAGUUGAUUUAAUCUCAAUGGUUAGCAAUCGUUGUAGUCUUGACAACCAUAAGAACCCACCCGGCAGUUAGUUGGACGCGAGUCCCCUGAGGGAAUCUGGCGGAACGUUCUGGAUUGUAUUUGCGUAAGAUAGAGCCGUUGCCAACGGAAACUAUUUUCGGUUUCCAUUGGGAAUUGUUCCCCCUUAUCUUAAACAACUUAAGUUUGAUAUUAAAUACAUACUGACACGUACAUCUUACAAUAUGUUGAUAAUAUGCGAUGGUUGCGCCGUACUUUUAACCACGUUGACGGGACUCUCGCUGCGUACAAAAGAGCGUUCUACUUGCGGGCCCAUUUCUGACCAUCAGUGAAGGCUGAAAAUAAUUUCAAGAUGGAAGACAAUUUGGCAUUUCUUCAAGGGAACCCAGCACCUGAAUAUGGCUGAGUAUAUGGCUUUCAUAUCGAUAAUGCUUAGGGUUCUUUGGUACUUCAGCUUUUGUACGUUCUAAAUAUCUGGUGGCAUUAAUUGCCACAGAAGUUAAACCCUACCAAAUGGAAUGACGUUAAACAACGACUUUGGUGCUGAGUUACCAACUGGAUAAUAUCAAAGCUAAAAUAAUGCCGUCUUUCCUACAUGUUACAGUAGAAGAAACUCGAACUGUACAAGGUUAAAAAGGUAACGUGUGGUUUGUCCCAAGGUGUCUGCCUCCUCACCCAGAGCCAGACCUCCACCUCCUCACCCAGAGCCAGACCUCCACCUCCUCACCCAGAGCCAGACCUCCACCUCCUCACCCAGAGCCAGACCUCCACCUCCUGUCAGAAGUCCUCCAGAACUGGUCAGUGCUCUGUCUGAAAGGCGUGGCGGAGAGGCUGGUAACCGGAGGCUUGUGGUGCCAGGAAGGACCGGAGACUGAGGCUGGAGACCAGGGGCCUGCAGCACCGGACCUGAGGGAAUCCAUGGCUGAAGGAACUGAUGGAGGAGCCGUGCUGAAGGCCCUGCCUGGUGGAGGAGCUGAUGGAGACCCUGCCUGGGGGAGGAGCUGAUGGAGGCCCUGCCUGCUGGAGGAGCUGCUGGAGGAGCCGUGCUGAAGGCCCUGCCUAGUGGAGGAGCUGAUGGAGGCCCUGCCUGGUGGAGGAGCUGAUGGAGGCCCUGCCUGGUGAAGGGGCUGAUGGAGGAGGAGCUGGUGGAGGUCCUGCCUGGUGGAGACCCUGCCUGGUGGAGGAUGUCUGUCGUGAGCAGGACUUUCGCUGUUUGUUCCAGACCAGGACUCGUCCGAGGAGAGUUGAUGGUUGAGCUGAGACGCUGGAGGACGACUAGGAAUCGACCAACAAGGAUUCCUCAUAAGUUUGCAUUUACUUAACAUUGUUGACUUAAAGGGCAAAAUACAGCGGUUACUUUGACAUGCGUUAACAAAUACCGCUGUGUUUUCUUACUAGAACGUGUUUCUGGAGCGGAGGCGAGCUGGCAGGGGAGCCGUGAAUCUGGAGGAUGACCAUCACUCUACCAACAUGGAUUACGUUGGGGCCAGACUUGUGCUGUUUGUUCCUGACCAGAACUCUGAGGAGAGCUGAUGGAGGAGCCAAGGCUCUGGAGGACGACAUCACUCUACCAACAAGGAUCCUCACCAGGAAUCUGGAGGACUGACGGAGAAGCUGUACAUCUGGAAGGCAAAUCCUGAGGACAACCAGGACUCUACCAUCAAGGAUUCCUCACACCCCUGAGCUGAACCCCACCUGAUCCUGUUUGGUCGGGGACAGACACACCUGAGCUGAACCCCACCUGAUCCUGUUUGGUCGGGGGCAGACACACCUGAGCUGAACCCCACCUGAUCCUGUUUGGUCGGGGACAGACACACCUGAGCUGAACCCCAACUGAUCCUGACACCCUGCUGGUCCCGUCUCCUCAGUUCAUCUGAGCCUCGUCCUCCAGAAGACCUGCUGAGCUCAGCGGUCUGAGGCUGAUGGAUCAAUGACCUCCAGUGGGAGUGAUCUUCUUGACCCCACAUGUACCCGUGUGCUUCCACACGCCUUUCCCUCACUACUUCACUAACCUCACUACUUCACUAACCUCACUACUUCCCUAACCUCAAUACUUCCCUAUCCUUCCUCUUCUUCUUCCUUCUCCGUGGUUCGAACCUGUGUCUUCCUGCCCUCAGAGGGUUCAGCGUUAGGGUUGAGAGUCAGGGUUUAGAGUCAGGGACAGAGCUGGUCAGGGAGGACUCGUUUUAAACAAACCUCUUCACUUGUUUUCUGAAUAGAGACUUUUUGAAAUGUUUCAUUUGGGAAAAUGUUUCUUCUGCUUUCCUUUAGAAAAACAUGUAUAAAACUUCUGUCAAGUGUCUGUUUGUAUAUUAAAAUCCUACAUUGAUUUCUGCAUGUUUGGU